rnacentral:rRNA from 1 species
GAUGAACGCUGGCGGCGUGCCUAACACAUACAAGUCGAGCGAAGGGACGCGAAUUUUGCUUCUCUGAUGUUAGCGGCGGACGGGUGAGUAACACGUGGAUAACCCUCCUAUAUGACUGGGAUAACUUCGGGAAAGCGGAGCUAAUACCGGAUGCUCUUUUGAACCGCAGGGUUCAAGAGUGAAAGACGGUUUUGCUGUCACUUAUAGAUGGAUCCGCGCUGCAUUGGCUAGUUGGUAGGGCAACGCCUUGCCAAGGCAGCGAUGCGUAGCCGACCUGAGAGGCGGAUCGGCCACACGGGAACGGAGACACGGUCCAGAGUCCUACGGGAGGCAGCAGUCGGGAAUCGUGCGCAAUGGGCGAAAGCCUGACGGAGCAACGCCGCGUGAGUGAUGAAGGUCUUCGGAGCGUAAAACUCUGUUAUUAGUGAAGAACAUAUGUGUAAGUAACUGUGCACAUCUUGACGGUACCUAAUCAAAAAGCCCCGGCUAACUACGUG